AUGGUUGCCCAGUUCUCUGACCAACUUGUUGUUGGAAAUGUGUAUUUCAUAUCUGGAGGAUUGUUGGAACCAGCACAGAAGUUGUUUAACCAUUUAAACAAUGCGUAUGAACUGAUUUUGGAUAGUUCAACAUCUAUAGAAAUUUGUUCCAGUGACGACAGCGACAUCCCUUGGCAGCAAUAUAAUUUCCAACAUAUCAGUGAAAUAGUAAGUAUGGAAAGUGGAUUCAUGGUUGAUUUGCUUGGGGUUGUUACAUCAGUUAGCCCUUCUGUUAUAAUAAUGCGGAAGGAUGGCACAGAAACCCAGAAAAGAACCCUUCAACUGAAGGACAUGUCUGGUUGUAGUGUGGAAAUAACAUUAUGGGGGAGUGUCUGUAAUGCUGAAGGUCAGCAGCUGCACUCGAUGUGCAUUUCUGGCUCUAAUCCUAUACUUGCCUUGAAAGGUGGCCGCAUCUGUGAAUUCAACGGCAAAACUGUGGGAACAGUCAGCUCAAGCUUGUUAAAAAUAAAUCCAGACUUGCCUGAUGCAGAAAAGCUGAUGCAGUGGUACAUAACUGAAGGGAAAUUAGCGGUUUGCACUUCUUUAUCUCAGGACAUCUCAAGCGUGGGCAAGAUGUAUAUGCGAAAAACAGUUGCGCAGAUCAAGGACGAGAACUUGGGGCGAUCAGAUCAGCCAGAUUGGGUCACUGUUGAAGCUACAAUUUCACACAUCAAAACUGAGAAAUUUUCUUAUCCAGCUUGCACAAGGGAGGUUAAUGGUAAGCGCUGCAACAGAAAGGUAACAAAUAAUGGUGAUGGGAUGUGGCAUUGUCCCAAAUGCCAGCAGAGCUCUCAAAAUUGUGAGUACCGACACUUGUUUCAGUGUAAGAUCCAGGAUCACACUGGGACUACCAAUGCUACUGCAUUCCAAGAAGCUGGCCAGGAAAUAAUUGGCAUCUCAGCGGAAGAGCUUUUCAUGAUUAAAAAUGUAGAUCUAGAUGACGCACGAUUUGCAGAAAUAAUACAUGGUGCCUGUUAUCAGCAAUUUCUGUUGAAGCUGAAAGUCAUGGAAGAAACCUUCGGUGAUGAACCGCGCGUGGAAGUCAGCAUCAUGAAGGCUGAAAGAUUGGACCACACAUCAAACAAGAGUCGUAUUUUUGAUCUUGGAGCAUUCGAUGGCCUUUGGGCGGAUGGCCAAGGCUCAGCACCUGGUGUGAAUGGUGUUGCUACUGCUGUGAAUGCUGGUUUCACCAACUCAGAUGCCGGACGGCAAGCUAAGGUAUCUGGCGGGAUGCCUAAUGCAGCACCAUCAGCAGCACGAUAUGCCUGCAGUACAUGUGGCUCCACUGGGCACAACGUGCAGAACUGCCCUGCAGCCAUGGAUAUCCAGCUAGCAGCAACAGGUUGGGGCUUCACGCCGAGUUCAUAUGGCUCUUCUGCAUCCGAUGCUCGCCUGUGCUGCAAGUGCAAUCAGCUUGGGCACUGGGCUAGAGACUGUCCAGGGCAGGCCACCUCGUACGGCUCUUCUGCAUCCAAAGCUCAGCUGUGCUGCAAAUGCAAUCAGCCUGGGCACUGGGCUAGAGACUGUCCGGUGUAG
rnacentral:rRNA from 1 species